rnacentral:tRNA from 1 species
CGAGAGAGGUCCGAAGACAACAUAAACUGCUAAUUUUUGCCUCUUUGGUUUAACCCCAAAGCUCACUCGA